UGUCUUUUUGAAAAUAAUUUAAAGUCUAAUCUGCCCACUGAUUAAAAUUGAAGGGCUGCAGUAUAUUGACUGUACAAAGGUAGCAUAAUCAUUAGUCAUUUAAUUGAUGACUUGUAUGAAAGAUUGGAUGAGAUAUAUACUGUCUCUUAUUUAAUUAUAAAAUUUAAUUUUUUUAUUAAAAAGUUAAAAUAAUUUAAAAAGACGAGAAGACCCUAUAGAGUUUAAUAAAUAAUUAAUUUGAUUUUAUUUUGAAAUUUAAUAUUGAAAAUUAUUUAUUUAUUUUAUUGGGGUGAUAGAAAAAUAAAUAAAACUUUUUUUAAAAUAAAACAUUUAUAAGUGAUUAAAUGAUCCAAUAAUAUUGAUUAUAAGAAAAAAUUACCUUAGGGAUAACAGCGUAAUUUUUUUUCUUAGUUCAAAUAAGAAAAAGAGUUUGCGACCUCGAUGUUGGAUUAAGAUAAAAUUUGAAUGCAGAAG
rnacentral:rRNA from 1 species